CCCAGACUCCUACGGGAGGCAGCAGUGGGGAAUAUUGCACAAUGGGGGGAACCCUGAUGCAGCGACGCCGCGUGGGCGAGGAAGUAUUUCGGUAUGUAAAGCCCUAUCGGCAGGGAAGAAGAAAUGACGGUACCUGACUAAGAAGCCCCGGCUAACUACGUGCCAGCAGCCGCGGUAAUACGUAGGGGGCAAGCGUUAUCCGGAUUUACUGGGUGUAAGGGGAGCGUAGGCGGUGCAGCAAGUCAGAAGUGAAAGCCCGGGGCUCAACUCCGGGACUGCUUUUGAAACUGUUGAACUAGAUUGCAGGAGAGGUAAGUGGAAUUCCUAGUGUAGCGGUGAAAUGCGUAGAUAUUAGGAGGAACACCAGUGGCGAAGGUGGCUUACUGGACUGUAAAUGACGCUGAGGCUCGAAAGCGUGGGGAGCAAACAGGAUUAGAUACCCGAGUAU
rnacentral:rRNA from 1 species